rnacentral:lncRNA from 1 species
UCCCUUCCUUCUUCCUUCUUUCUCCCUCGCUUCAUACAGAAGAUUAUGCGAGCGGAGGGAUUCGCUCUGAAGUUCGCCUGUCAGAACCCAUGGCUCCAGCAUGUUUUCCUCUGCUCUGUAAAGAUCCCUCAUAAACCCUGGCAGAGUUUACACCAAAAGCAUGCCCCACGAGGCGACGCCUGGCAUCCCGACAACUUCGGGGGAGACCAAUCUUCAUGCCUUUUAAAUCACUGCAGCUGAAACUAGAAAUACCGUGUACAGCUAUUGGGCUUUCAAAGGAAUGUCCUGUGGGCUGAGAAACCUGCUGUGCGUGAUCUGCUGCUCCUUUGCACCCUCUGUCUGCAAGCCUGUGAGAAAAAGAAAAUGCUCCAGCUGCAAAGUAUUGCCUCGUGGUGUAAUACAGCCGAUGACGCAGCAAAUGCUGUGCGUAUGUCAGGGUCAGGAACAGAGACAUCUGUGUCUGUUACACAGGAAGGAACUGGCCAGAACGUCUGCUGCUGAGCUAAUGUCAGGUGCUGAGGUGCGUAACAGCACUGGGCAGGGCCAAAGUGAGCAGCACCUGCCCCCAGCUCCUCACCUGGCUGAGAGCACCUGGGUUUCAUCCUGCACAGUUGCAGGGUUCUCUUGUUUCUGCACUGAGUCUUUCUACAGGUGAGGCUGUAGUGAUACCUGCAAACAUUUAUUUGGCCAAAUGGCCCCGUGUGCCUUGAGAGUAGGUGUGCAGGUUGGUUUGAGAGAGGGUGCACCCGGUGGCAAUCCAGUGCCAUCUAAGAACCCUUUCAGCUUGACGUGUCCCAUCCUCCCUAUGGCUAGUUUUGUGGAGAACUGUAAAGUAUUUUAAUGUUGAGGUGGUUUUUGUUUGUUUGUUUGUUUGUUUUUAAUGUGGAUUGGCUGAGCUGAAGCAUCAAGCAAACAUUUACAAAUUCUAGAGCUUUAUAACCUGUUCAUCUCUGAGACAAAGGCUUCCUCUUCAGAAUGUGUACAAACUGCUCGUUUGCAUUUGGCUGAAGCAAGCAUUUUAUUGUAUAAAAAAGAUCCUGCCAGGGCUGCACAGACUGCCAUUGUGAGUGAUGUGUGGCCGCUCCACUCGCUUUGUUGCACACGCGGCUGCUUGAAGUCGUGCUGCCGGGGCAAUGACCCACCCCUUCCCCUGCUCCAGCAGAGCAGACAUCCACCUCCUGAGUGGGCCUGAGGAAUUUAUCUCCAAGUCUGCUAACUUCUCCCCAUGUGGCUGUUAUUCUUUUCCCCACGCGAAGGGCAUAAAAUUAGUUGCAGAAAGGCAGCACAGUCUAUGUGGGACAAAGAACGUUUCUCGAGUCCUGGAUUCAGGCACAUGUAUCUCCCAUCUUCCAGCUACAAAUUAAGGUGAGGAACAGAUGCAUGCUGGUAUGCACUUCAGUUUCCAAGGGAAGAAGGCACAGGGCAAGAGACCCACAGGAAUUUCCAGAAGCCCUCUACUCUCUGCUCCAUGACCUGCACGUAGCCACGAAGGUUAUCACAGCUUCCAGGCGGGGAGACACAAGAAUCUCUUCACAUGAAUAUGACUGUUUUUCCAUUACCUUUAGCAAGCUGAAAUUUUCUGAGACUAUUUUUUCCAGCAUAGUACAGUCUUAGACAUGGAAAUCCUCACGAAACACAAAAUUAAAGCUUACAAACUAGCCCAGCACCGAUGUCAGCCUUUUUGUACAACUGGUAGCUUGACACCUCACUUUAACACUUGUGGCUGUUAAUAGCACAAAGUGAGGGCACGUUGACCAGACUAUGGCAUUUGGUGUCCCACUCUUCUGCCUUUUUAACCAAGAGCCUUCCAGGGUAAAUUCUGGCUCUUUCUAGUUUCAUGUGUAGAUCAAAUGAAAAGCUUUAUAUUGUACACACACACACGCAUAUGCAUACAAAUAUUUAUAUAAAUCAAUUAAUACAUGUGUUAUAAACAGUUAAUAAAAAUACAGUGUAUUUGUUAGUACUGAAAACAAAUAGGAUUUCUAGAAAUGGUAAAAGAGUUGUUUUUUAAAAAAUAGCAGUCCAAGCAAAACCAACACAUGUUUUUUCUGUCUUUCAACUAUCUCCUCUCUUUUCUUUCUUGAGAGUAAAGCCAAAACUGGAAAACUGAGUUUGGGCCUAGUAGAAUUCCACCUUAAAUCCUCCCUCUUCCCAACAAAGAAUAACAUUUUACUUUUGGUUUUGUUUUUUCCUCAGAACUAUUUACAUGUUUCCGAGCCAACACAACAGCUGAUAGUGCUACUUCCCACUCCACCACACUGCAUGCUGUGCUUUCUGCACAGACCUCCUGAGAUUGCGUGAUUGCAUAUAUAACCUUGCUCCACACAGUGUCAGUAUUGUUCUGAUCCUUUCUCUUCCCCCACAUGAGUUUUUGUGUUCAGCAUAUCUUGGCAUUGUGAACUGGAGGCUUUCUAAAGGAGGUCUCAAUUUACCCCUGAUUUACCCCUAUAAAUCAGCUAAUAAACCAUUGUCAGCACUGGUGUUAUUACACUACAUGGAGACAAUGGGGAUGGAAUAUGCUGGUACAGACAACAGCAUUCCAGUUCUGAGGGCUGAAAUACACAGGACCCUUCAGAUGCUGAGGAUGCUCAAGGAUAGUCUGCAGGACAAGAGGAAAUCUGCAAGGUGACUCCUACAUCUCUGCUCUGCUUCACCGCUCUGCGACAAGUACAAGCCAAUGCACCCGGACAGAAAUACCUGUGGUAGUUGGAUUAUCUCCUCUGCACCCAAGGAAUUCCAUGCAGACUCCCAUGAACGGAGCUGAAUUCCUCAGCUCUUCCAUCUCCCUGGUGAACUGCACUGAAUUCCCUGCCAAAGCCCUCACACUCAUGGUGCCAGCAGUAUCCUGGGAAGACCUGUGUAUGCAAAAUGCUGUGUUACUGCUAUCACCUAGCAGGGUUUAUCGGAGUAAAGCAUAAUAAAACUUUAACAACAAUCC